UUUUGGUUUAAAAAUAUCAAUAUAUAAUAGUUAUUUAAAGAUUUUUUUUACGAUUAUUAUAAGAAAAACAAAAAAGGAAAUAAAGAAAGAAGAGUGGAAAAGAUGAAAAUUACGUGGAAUAUUUUCCACACGAAGUCCACGUAAGUAUCAUAAUAUUCCAUCGCAUAACUCUUUUAAUUCGAAGAUAAAGGGUAUCCUCGAGGACGUGAAAUGCACGAGAACAAAAAUUCACUGUGGAAAAAUUGUUAUUCCUGGAUAAUUCAACGGGAAAUGAAGCGGACGCUUCUCGAACAAAAUCUCGAGCGCGAUUCCAUACACUUUUAUUUCUUCCCUCGGAAAAACGUGCAGGAUUAAGCUUUUUCCUUCGAAAAUGAUUACUUGUGAAGGAAGCUGUUUUACAUUUAAAUCAAACCAGCCUGUCUCGAAAUCAAUUCGGAGCUGUGGUGUUUUACAAUUUAAAUAUCCCGCCAGAAGAAAUAAAGAAGGCUUAUCAAGUAUCACGUCUGCCACAGUUUAACUUAUCCUUGCUCGAUAUCACAUGAAUUGAGCUUAUCGCGAUUAUCUUUCCUUUGGAAAAUUGAUCAUUUGUCGUGUAAGAAAAUUGAGAGAUUUAUUUUGAAUAAAGAUGUUGAUUUUUAGUA